AACGGCUGCGAAAAUGCCCUGAAGUUUUGGUUAGGAUCAUCUGCCAUCUGCAUGCCCAGCAAAUCCUCCAGGACGGAAUUUGGUACUUCCAGCCUUGAAGUGUUCACUCCAAUGUAUAGAACAACUUCAGAGUACCGGUAGCAGAUCAGUGCUUCGUGUUAUACUUUGUUACAGGUCAUGCUGCAUUUUCACACAACGUGGAAGAUUUUGUGCCUGCUGCUCCAAUAAUCCCUCCAAGUAUGGAUUGCUGGCAACAGUCCCUGCAGAUGCAAUUGGGCAGUCAAAGAAUUUAGAAUCUUCAAAACUCAAUACAGGAAACAGUAUCAAGUAAUGUUUGACGACAAACAGAAAACUCAAAACCAAAAUCAAAAUUGCCUCAGAAGAGAACUAUGAUCAACAGAAAGAGCUAUAUAUACUCUGACACAAAGAUAGAAUGGUACACUUCAGAAACAAAAAUCCUUUAGGCAGAAUCUCGUCUCUUCUUUUUCCCCCAACGUAAUCCUCGAAAGAGUUCAGAAUUCAGCCAAACAAACUUGCUCGAUCUACGAAGUAGUCCGCCGUAGUCCGUAGAGGACUUUCUUGAGAUAGGAUCAAAUUGACAGACAUAACAGCGUCGACAGUCAGUGUCUGUCAAUGCAUGCAAAACACAGGAAGUGCAAAACCCCCAUAACAAAUCACAAAAAAAAUCAACAACUCCAUGAAAAGAAUCAAAUCAACAAAGUAACCCAUGGACAAGGACCCAGCCAGUCUGCUCCUGCAGUUCAUAAGUCAUAUAGACAGAGACCUACUAAGAGAGAAACCUGUAGAAAUGAUUACGUAAAGCCAGACCUGAGCCAGACCAAUCAAAACCACGGGGCGCAGACACACGAACACAGACAUGCAUGCAGAGCGCCGUCAAGGAACAGACUUUCGAAGUCUAGAUUUUUCGUACCCAAGAUAUCUGAACGUGCAUGUUUGAUGUUUCCUACGAGAGAACGACAUCAAGAAAACGCUCGGAAAGGAAGAAGAGCUAGCCCCCGAUCCUACCAGAACGGCAGAACCCAAAUCAACCUGGAAACAAAGGCAAGAAUCCCAACAGAGGCACGGGUAACGGGACCAAAUUGCUGCCAAGGAACUUACAGGUCUAAUUAAAUCCGAUCUGGUUGCAGAGGAACAACCGGAGAAGCCAAACUCCGGCGUGGUUCCUGCGUGUCGCUUCCCAGAUGGUGUGUGUGUGCGCGUGGUGCUGGUGGUGGUAGUGUUAAAUGGUGCGGCCUUAGCUUUGUGCGCUCCAAUGGGAGGGAAGCCGAAAAGGCGGCGGCCCCGCCUCUCUCCAGUAUGUGGCUUCUCCCCUCCAAAAGCCGAAGUCGUGUGCCAGUUUAACAACUUGCGCGCAGAAAAAGGGUGGAGGAGAAAGAGAGAGGUGUGUGUGUGUGUGUGAUCUCUGUUGGAAGGAACUCAACAAGAUUUCAGGGCGGAGCCGGUAGAGGCAGUGGCUUCUUGUGAAAACAAAUGUCGUUUGCCGCUAUUGGUUUCCAUCUUAGGUUUCCCUCCCUUUUCGCUCUUUUUUUAGAAGGCCAGCAGAGAGAGGGAUCGCUACACGGUUGC
rnacentral:lncRNA from 1 species